AUUGAACGCUGGCGGCGUGCUUAACACAUGCAAGUCGAUCGGUAACGCGGGGGCAACCCUGGCGACGAGAGGCGGACGGGUGAGGAACGCUUGGGAAUCUGCCCUUCAGCGGGGGACAACACGGGGAAACUCGUGCUAAUACCGCAUACGCUCUACGGAGGAAAGCCGGGGACCGCAAGGCCUGGCACUGAUAGAUGAGCCCAAGCCGGAUUAGCUAGUUGGCGGGGUAACGGCCCACCAAGGCGACGAUCCGUAGCUGGUCUGAGAGGACGAUCAGCCACACUGGGACUGAGACACAGCCCAGACUCCUACGGGAGGCAGCAGUGGGGAAUAUUGGACAAUGGGGGAAACCCUGGUCCAGCGACGCCGCGUGGGUGAAGAAGGCCUGCGGGUUGUAAAGCCCUUUCGGUAGGGACGAAAGCUCUCGACCUAACACGUCGGGAGGUUGACUUAACCUACAAAAGAAGCACCGGCUAACUCUGUGCCAGCCGCCGCUGUAAAAC
rnacentral:rRNA from 1 species